rnacentral:miRNA from 1 species
ACAUGCUUCCUUAUAUCCCCA